GGCAUGUGCACGCCUCUACUCAUCCAUUACACCCCUUGGGGACCUAAAGGGGACCACCCCCUUGGGAGGGAGUCCCCUUCCUUUAUACCCCCUUCCAAAAUCUGGAAAAUGGAACUAACCUAACGGGGAAAUAAUACCACUUUCCACAACGGAUCUCUUGGCUCUCCCAUCCAUGAAAAACGCAACGAAAUGGGAUAAAUAAUGGGAAUUGGAAAAUUCCAUGAAUCCUCCAAUCUUUGAACGCACCUUGGGCUCCUUGGUAUUCCCAAGAACAUGGCUGGUUGAAUGGCAUGAAACUCUCCACCCCAACUUUUAACCGGUUGUUGGUUGGACUUGGACGCUGGUGGCACCCUCGCGGCUCGUCCUAAAUGCAUUAACUGGAAAGUCUCGCUUCACGAGGUUCUCGGGGUGAUAAUAAUUUUACUUCGGACCCCGCAGGGGGGCCUUUUUGCAAGGGCAGCCCCUUUUAAAUCGCCCCUCGCCAACAGUUUUUUAUUAAGAUCUGACCUCAAAUCGGGGAAGACUCCCCGGUGAAUUUAAAUA
rnacentral:rRNA from 1 species